UACGUAGGGUGCAAGCGUUAAUCGGAAUUACUGGGCGCAAAGCGUGCGCAGGCGGUUGCGCAAGACAGAUGUGAAAUCCCCGGGCUUAACCUGGGAACUGCAUUUGUGACUGCACGGCUAGAGUGCGGCAGAGGGGGAUGGAAUUCCGCGUGUAGCAGUGAAAUGCGUAGAUAUGCGGAGGAACACCGAUGGCGAAGGCAAUCCCCUGGGCCUGCACUGACGCUCAUGCACGAAAGCGUGGGGAGCAAACAGG
rnacentral:rRNA from 1 species